GUGCCAGCAGCCGCGGUAAGACAGAGGGUGCAAACGUUGUUCGGAUUUACUGGGCGUAAAGCGCGUGUAGGCGGCUUUGCAAGUCGGAUGUGAAAGCCCACGGCUCAACCGUGGAAGUGCAUCCGAAACUGCAUGGCUUGAGUCUCGGAGAGGAAGGUGGAAUGCUUGGUGUAGAGGUGAAAUUCGUAGAUAUCAAGCAGAACACCUGCGGCGAAGGCGGCCUUCUGGACGAUGACUGACGCUGAGACGCGAAAGCGUGGGGAGCAAACAGGAUUAGAUACCCCAGUAGUCC
rnacentral:rRNA from 1 species